rnacentral:lncRNA from 10 species
AUGUCUUCACAUUUUUAACAGUAAUACAGCACAUGAUCCAAAGAUAAAACAGUUGAUUCUCAUUAUUUGCAGUAGUUAUGUUCUAUAAAGUCACUUGGAACACUGAAUUAGUAAAUACUAAACCAUUAUUCCUAAGGGAAAUAGAGUUGGGUUCCUGUGGGCCUCUGGUCACAUUUUCAUCAACUAAUCAAUACAUAACUUUGUUUUGGGUGCAUUUAAUAUUGUUCAUUCAUUAAUAUGAAACGCAAGACAAAUAGCACUGUAACUCACACUUGAACAAAGCUUAUCUAACAUCUAUUUUCUUUUUUUUUUUUUUUUUUUGAGACGGAGUCUCGCUCUGUUGCCCAGGUUGGAGUGCAGUGGCACAAUCUUGUCUCACUGAAACCUCCACCUCCAGGGUUCAAGCAAUUCUCCUGCCUCAGCCUCCCGAGUAGCUGGGAUUAUAGGCACGUGUCACCAUGCCCGGCUAAUUUUUUUGUAUUUUUAGUAGAGACAGGGUUUCACCAUGUUGUCCAGGCUGGUCUCAAACUCCUGAGAUGAUCUGCCUGCCUCAGCCUCCCAAAGUGCUGGGAUUACAGGCGUGAGCCACCGUGUCCGGCCUAACAAUCUAUUUUCUCUAUAAGACACAUCACAGCUUUCUUCUACUCAGCAACACUACAAAGCACUUGAGCAAUAGGCCUAGGAGCCAUUUUAAGCAGCACCACCACCAACCAAAAGCCGUGGAACCAAAUACAUCAUGAAAAGGACACUUGUUUACAGUAUCAGAAGGAGGCAGAGCUCUGUUCCGCCUCACCUGGAAAUGUGACUCAAUUUGUGAACCAAUGUGACACAUGUCAGAUGACUCAAAUUUUUUGCUGCUCUGAACAUGCCUACGAAUGGCCAAGUACUGAUUUGGGGGUUAUAAAUUUUAGCAAGUAGGCAAAUUCGCAAAUAUGGAACCAAUGAAUAAUGAAAAUGAAUUGCACACAGAAGGGGUACAUGAUAAAAAGACUCCUUCUCAUCCCUGACACCUUCCCAUAGCCACUGUUGUUAAGUUUCACCUUUAUACUUCCAGAGAUUUUUAAAAUUCACUGAUUAAAAUAGAAAACCACAUGUAUUAGUCCAUUUUCACAUUGCUAUAAAGAACUAUCUGAGACUGGGAAAUUUAUUUAAAAAAAAAAGGUUUAACUAACUCACAGUUCUGCAUGGCUGGGGAGGCUUCAGGAAACUUAUAAUUAUGGCAGGAGGUGAACAGGACGCAAGACACAAACAAGUCUUACAUGGCAGCAAGAGAGCGCGAGCAAAGGGAGUCCCACACUUUUAAACCAUCAGAUCUCACGAGAACGCACUCACUAUCAUGAGAAUAGCGUGGGGGAAACCGCCCCCAUGAUCCAAUCACC